rnacentral:rRNA from 1 species
CAGUAGCCACGGUAAUACGGAGGGUGCAAGCGUUAUCCGGAUUUAUUGGGUUUAAAGGGUCCGUAGGCGGACUUAUAAGUCAGUGGUGAAAGCCUGUCGCUUAACGAUAGAACUGCCAUUGAUACUGUAAGUCUUGAGUAUAUUUGAGGUAGCUGGAAUAAGUAGUGUAGCGGUGAAAUGCAUAGAUAUUACUUAGAACACCAAUUGCGAAGGCAGGUUACCAAGAUAUAACUGACGCUGAGGGACGAAAGCGUGGGUAGCGAACAGGAUUAGAUACCCCUGUAGUCCCUGUCUCUUAUAU